AUACGGAGGGUGCAAGCGUUACUCGGAAUCACUGGGCGUAAAGCGCGCGCAGGCGGCUAUUUAAGUUGGAUGUGAAAGCCUAUGGCUCAACCAUAGAACUGCAUCCAAAACUAUUUAGCUAGAGUGUGGGAGAGGAAGAUGGAAUUAGUUGUGUAGGGGUAAAAUCCGUAGAGAUAACUAGGAAUACCAAAAGCGAAGGCAAUCUUCUGGAACACUACUGACGCUGAGGCGCGAACGCGUGGGGAGCAAACAGGAUUAGAAACCCUAGUAGUCC
rnacentral:rRNA from 1 species